rnacentral:rRNA from 1 species
CCUACGGGAGGCAGCAGUAGGGAAUAUUGGGCAAUGGAGGCAACUCUGACCCAGCCAUGCCGCGUGCAGGAAGAAGGCGUUAUGCGUUGUAAACUGCUUUUAUAUAGGAAGAAAUAGUCCUUGCGAGGAAAGUUGACGGUACUAUAUGAAUAAGCACCGGCUAACUCCGUGCCAGCAGCCGCGGUAAUACGGAGGGUGCAAGCGUUGUCCGGAUUUAUUGGGUUUAAAGGGUGCGUAGGCGGUUUAUUAAGUCAGUGGUGAAAGACGGUCGCUCAACGAUUGCAGUGCCAUUGAUACUGGUAGACUUGAGUGGGAUUGAGGUAGCUGGAAUGGAUAGUGUAGCGGUGAAAUGCAUAGAUAUUAUCCAGAACACCAAUUGCGUAGGCAAGUUACUAAGUCUCAACUGACGCUGAGGCACGAAAGUGUGGGUAUCAAACAGGAUUAGAUACCCUGGUAGUCCACACUGUAAACGAUGAUAACUAACUGUUGGCUUUUCGGGGUCUAGUGGUACGAGAGAAUACGUUAAGUUAUACCACCGUCGGGAGGUACGCCGGCGAACGGUAGUAAACGUUAAAAGGUAAAGUUAGUACGGCGUGAGACGUAGACCGAACGGACGACGACGAGGGAGGAGGG